rnacentral:snoRNA from 12 species
GGUCAAUGAUGACUAGUAAAAGGGCUGACUCCCCAGGUCCCCUCCCUGCAUCCUCACCAUCCCCAGCCGCCUUGCUCCCAUCAGGCUCCAGUAGUGCUUUGAUGGGUAAAAGGGCAGCUGACACUCUGUGAUGUCCCAGGUCUGUGUUCCUUGGCGAGCCCAGGGAGGACACGUGGUUGGCAUCCCACAGCCAGUCUCGAAGGGAUGUGAUUACUGGGAGUGUGGUACCUGUGGUUCUGAUCUGACUUUCAAGCUGAGACC